rnacentral:rRNA from 1 species
GGGGAAUUUUGGACAAUGGGCGCAAGCCUGAUCCAGCCAUGCCGCGUGUCUGAAGAAGGCCUUCGGGUUGUAAAGGACUUUUGUCAGGGAAGAAAAGGCUGUUGCCAAUAUCGACAGCUGAUGACGGUACCUGAAGAAUAAGCACCGGCUAACUACGUGCCAGCAGCCGCGGUAAUACGUAGGGUGCGGGCGUUAAUCGGAAUUACUGGGCGUAAAGCGAGCGCAGACGGUUACUUAAGCAGGAUGUGAAAUCCCCGGGCUCAACCUGGGAACUGCGUUCUGAACUGGGUAACUAGAGUGUGUCAGAGGGAGGUAGAAUUCCACGUGUAGCAGUGAAAUGCGUAGAGAUGUGGAGGAAUACCGAUGGCGAAGGCAGCCUCCUGGGAUAACACUGACGUUCAUGCUCGAAAGCGUGGGUAGCAAACAGGAUUAGAUACCCUGGUAGUCCACGCCCUAAACGAUGUCAAUUAGCUGUUGGGCAACUCGAUUGCUUAGUAGCGUAGCUAACGCGUGAAAUUGACCGCCUGGGGAGUACGGUCGCAAGAUUA